AACGAACGCUUUCUGCCUUCCUAACACAUGCAAGUCGAACGAGACCUUCGGGUCUAGUGGCGCACGGGUGCGUAACGCGUGGGAACCUGCCCUUAGGUUCGGAAUAACUCCCCGAAAGGGGUGCUAAUACCGGAUAAUGUCUUCGGACCAAAGAUUUAUCGCCUUUGGAUGGGCCCGCGUUGGAUUAGCUAGUUGGUAGGGUAAAAGCCUACCAAGGCGACGAUCCAUAGCUGGUCUGAGAGGAUGAUCAGCCACACUGGGACUGAGACACGGCCCAGACUCCUACGGGAGGCAGCAGUGGGGAAUAUUGGACAAUGGGCGAAAGCCUGAUCCAGCAAUGCCGCGUGAGUGAUGAAGGCCUUAGGGUUGUAAAGCUCUUUUACCCGGGAUGAUAAUGACAGUACCGGGAGAAUAAGCGACGGCUAACUCCGUG
rnacentral:rRNA from 1 species